AUUGAACGCUGGCGGCGUGCCUUACACAUGCAAGUCGAACGGUAACAGGUCUUCGGAUGCUGACGAGUGGCGAACGGGUGAGUAAUACAUCGGAACGUGCCUAGUAGUGGGGGAUAACUACUCGAAAGAGUGGCUAAUACCGCAUGAGAUCUACGGAUGAAAGCAGGGGAUCGCAAGACCUUGUGCUACUAGAGCGGCCGAUGGCAGAUUAGGUAGUUGGUGGGAUAAAAGCUUACCAAGCCGACGAUCUGUAGCUGGUCUGAGAGGACGAUCAGCCACACUGGGACUGAGACACGGCCCAGACUCCUACGGGAGGCAGCAGUGGGGAAUUUUGGACAAUGGGCGCAAGCCUGAUCCAGCAAUGCCGCGUGCAGGAUGAAGGCCUUCGGGUUGUAAACUGCUUUUGUACGGAACGAAAAGCCCUGGGUUAAUACCCUGGGGUCAUGACGGUACCGUAAGAAUAAGCACCGGCUAACUACGUGCCAGCCGCCGCCGUAAUAC
rnacentral:rRNA from 1 species